rnacentral:tRNA from 1 species
AUAUUACCUCAAUCGGUAGAGGGUCUAUAAGUAGAAAUAAAAGAUGUAGGUUCGAGUCCUACUAUAUACCA